rnacentral:misc_RNA from 1 species
GAAACAUCUGAGUAGCUAAAGGAAAGGAAAUCAACCGAGACCCUGCGGUAGCGAAGCUCACCAUUUGAAAAGCGUCUAUCUGACAAGAGGAAGUACUCAACUAGUGAAUGAAAAGAAAAGUGACGCCCAGGCGAAGUAAGUUCGUGGAUCGGUGAAACAAAGUGGGAAAUGCAAUUAAUUGUUAAUAAAUAAUCGGCUAGAUCUUCGGAGGCCGCCAUGGUCACUUUUCGGAAAGUUGAAAUCCGACAACCGCUGCCAGCGACCUUUCCCAGCUGAAUGCAAAAGAAACGCCGCCGGUCAAUAAACCACGCUGGGUAAAAACACUUCGAGAAUCCACAAUUCUCUGAAACCAGCACGAGUUUUUAUUUAUUUUUCUCUUGUUUUCUUCAUUCAAGAAUAAUGGCAACCCCCACUACACCCGCGGUGGACUCUGCAGCCUCCGCAGACGAGCUCACCGUCAGGGCCGUACACAAACGCUAUGAAGGUCUCGUCAUGGUUAGAAGCAAAGCGAUAAAGGGCAAAGGCGCAUGGUAUUGGGAGCACUUGGAGCCCAUGCUGGUCCACAACACCGAGACCGGCCUUCCUAAAGCGGUCAAGCUCCGGUGUUCCUUAUGUGACGCCGUUUUCUCCGCCUCCAAUCCCUCUCGUACUGCCUCUGAGCAUCUGAAACGAGGGACGUGCCCGAAUUUUAACUCGCUUCCCAAACCCCUUUCGUCUAUCUCCCCGUCUUCGAACACAGCCGUAGCUUCGCCGUCAAGUGGUAGCGGCACUGCUGUUUUGGCUACUGCUGCUUCUGUGGUACACAAUAACCGAAAACGUUCUGCUGGUGCAAGUUCUGGGGGUAUGUCUGCUUCGUCGUAUCCCAUGACGGCUGUGGCUACUGUUGCUUCCGUCACUCCGUACCAAGUAAGUCCUCUUGCCAUCGUGGAUCCAUCCAGAUUUUCAGGGGAGCUAGCAGUGUUGCCUCAGCAACCGCAUUUGAUGCUUUCUGGUGGUAAGGAGGAUUUGGGUGCUUUAGCCAUGUUGGAAGACAGUGUAAAGAAGUUGAAAAGUCCUAAAACUUCUCCAGGUCUGGCUUUGAGCAAGGCCCAGAUUGACUGCGCCCUUGAUUAUUUAGCUGAUUGGGUCUAUGAGUCUUGUGGGUCUGUCUCGUUUUCGGCUCUCGAACACCCUAAAUUUCGGGCAUUCUUGAAUCAAGUCGGCUUACCUGCGGUUUCUAGAAGAGAGUUUUGCGGUGGUAGACUAGAUGUUAAGUUUGAGGACGCUAAGGUUGAGUCUGAGGCAAGGAUUAGAGAUGCUAUGUUUUUUCAAAUUGCAUCUGAUGGCUGGAAAGUCAAGAGUUUCAGCGGUUUUAGUGGCAUGAAUUUGGUGAAUUUGACAGUGAAUUUGCCUAAUGGAACUAGUUUGUAUAGGAGGGCUGUGUUUGUUACUGGUUCAGUGCCUUCUAGGUACGCAGAAGAGAUUUUAUGGGAGACCAUAUCAGGAAUUUGUGGGAAUGCAGUGCAGCAGUGUGUCGGGAUAGUUGCAGACAGGUUUAAGGCUAAGGCAUUGAGAAAUUUAGAGAAUCAGAAUCACUGGAUGGUCAAUCUUUCUUGUCAGUUUCAAGGGUUUACUAGUUUAAUAAAAGACUUUAGCAAGGAGCUUCCACUGUUCAAGACUGUCACUGAGAAUUGCUUCAAGCUUGCAAAUUUUGUCAAUAACAAGCCUCAAAUUCGAAAUAGUUUCCGUAAGUAUCAAUUGCAGGAGAACGGGCAUGCAGGAUUGCUGAGAGUGCCCUUGCGCGAGUAUGAGAAGAUGGAUUUUGGUCCUGUGUAUGCGAUGCUAGAGGAUGUAUUGAGCUCAGCUCGAGCACUGCCAUUGGUUUUACUAGAUGAAUCGUAUAAGAGAGUGUCCAUGGAGGAUCCAACAGCAAGAGAAGUUGCUGAGAUUAUUAGAGAUGUGGGUUUUUGGAAUGAAUUAGAGGCGGUGCACUCAUUGGUUAAGUUGAUCAAGGAAAUGGCUCAGGAGAUCGAAACAGAGAGGCCAUUGGUUGGGCAAUGCCUGCCACUUUGGGACCAGCUAAGGGCAAAAGUGAAGGAUUGGUGUUCAAAGUUCCACAUUGCAGAAGGAGCCGUGGAGAAAGUGAUUGAAAGACGGUUUAAGAAGAAUUAUCAUCCUGCUUGGGCUGCUGCAUACGUACUCGAUCCACUUUAUCUCCUUAGAGACGCUAGUGGCAAGUACCUUCCUCCUUUCAAAUGCUUAACUCCUGAGCAGGAAAAAGAUGUAGACAAGCUCAUAACCAGGCUUGUCUCCAUGAAGGAGGCUCAUAUUGCAUUAAUGGAAAUUAUGAAAUGGAGAACAGAAGGGCUUGAUCCAGUGUAUGCAAGAGCAGUCCAAAUGAAGGAAAGGAAUCCCAUUACGGGAAAGAUGAAAAUUGCCAAUCCGCAAAGUAGUAGGCUUGUGUGGGAGACUUAUCUUACCGAGUUUAAAUUAUUACGGAAAGUUGCAGUUAGGCUUAUUUUUCUUCAUGCAACUGCAUGUGGGUUCAAAUGCAAUUGGUCUUUGUUGAAAUGGGUGUGUGCCCAUGGGCAUUCAAGAGCAACCAUGGACAAGGCACAAAAGUUGGUAUUCAUUGCAGCUCAUUCCAAGCUUGAGAGGCGGGAGUUUUCUAGCGAUGAAGACAAGGAUGCAGAGCUUCUCGCAUUAGCAAAUGGUGAGGAUGAUGUGCUGAAUGAGGUUCUUGUUGAUACAUUUUCAGUGUAACAUUUUUUUUUUACUCCUUUUGAAUUUUAAAUUUGUAGAAUUUAUUGAAUUCUUUUCUCUAUUUAUUUCUUUUUGUACUUUCAAUCAGUUGGGAGGAAGAGGGGGAAUUGAUAGGAGAUUCAGUUUUUGUAUGCCUAGCUAGUAAUGCAUGCCCCUUGAUUUGAGCAAUUGCCCAUCUUUCAUCCUAGAAAGAUUUUUGAAGAUUUUGAGUUUGUGGUAAAGAAAAUCUUCUUGCUUGUAAAGAUAGCAAUUGAUGUAUUAAGAGGUAUUACAGAUCAGGAAGAAUGUUGUAAAUUUUUGUUCCUCGAGUAAUUUGGAUAAAUGACAUAAACGAUAGUAUCUAUAAGGGGAAAGGUUUUAUUAUUUCUCUGUUGGUUCUAAGAUCUCUAAUUUGUCAUUUGGGUUUUAACAAGAGCAACGGAUGACAAUCUGUUGAACAUAAUCUGCUAAAUACUAUGAUUUUAGACUGAAAUUAUAUGUAUUAACAGUGGGUGUUUUCUGGACAUGAUAUUGAUGGCUCCAUUCCAAAAAUUUAAUAGGCUGCUCUGAUAUAUGAAUUAUUCUCUAUAGCAUUAAUCUUCACCAUUCUCCCAUGAUAGUUGGAGUACUCAAAUUUUUAAAGGCAAUUUACUUUCUGUCAUAAAAGUUUGUCACAUCCUCCUUUAAAAUUCAUCAAAAAGUCCAGUUGAACUUUUGAAGUUGAUAUUACUUGCAAGUGUGCAGUACACCCCUAGUUCUCAAGUUCUAUUGUCUUGUGGAUCUCUCAUUUCUUGCUGAUGAUCUUGGAAUUCCUUGAACAACAAGCAUGAAUGGCUGCAUUGUAUAAUCAUAUAUCUCCAGUUUGAAUUGCAUUUUUUUUUCAUGUUUAGGUAAUGACUGAAAGGGGUCUGCCUGAAAACUUCACACUUUGUUCUUGGUCCUAGACUGUCUAGAAUAUUGUGGUCGUUUGUUUGUGCGGACAUAGAUCUCAUAGCCAACUGGAAUUAGGACGUUCUGGAUAUAUUUUUAUUAUAGAUUCUUGGGCAAACCUUCAUGAUUUAUGUGUCUUUGGAUGUUCUGAAACUACUCAGGUCGCUUCCCUAGUUAAAAAGUUGAAUCAUGCAUGAAAACUCUCUAUAUCUAUAAAACUAGGUAAUAAUCCUUGCGCUUGGAGAUUCUUAGGUGGGAUCUGCUGCUUCACUUACAUUUAUUUUUUCCAAUAAUUAGUUUUCCUAAUGAUGCGAUACUGGAAUUUAACUGGGAUUUUAUAUUUUUUGAAAUAUCAAAUUUUGAGGAAAGAGAACUUUUAUCUGAAUGUUGAUAAUCAUUGUUAGUUGAACUUGAGAAGUUAAAGAUAAUUAUGCUAAAUUGAUCUUUUUGGUGGCAGAAGCAUUCGACAAAGAUAUCGUUGGACUGGAGAAGCCACCGUAAGAUGGUUGGUGGUUCAGUAGAAUGAGAUGGAACAUGAUUAAAGGUAGAAUGCUGCCAUAAGGAUCCAAGAAGGGCUUGACUUGAAAUAUUUGGAAAUGAGAUGCCUUUUUGUGAGACGCCAGAGGUUAAUUGAACAAGCUGGUUGGGUUAAUGGCAAGCCAGGUUCCCUGACGUGGGUCUACAACCUUGGAAGGACCUCUGUACUCACCUUUGUAGCUGGAGGAGCACUUCUAA